rnacentral:rRNA from 1 species
CCUACGUGAGGCAGCAGUGAGGAAUAUUGGUCAAUGGGCGCGAGCCUGAACCAGCCAAGUAGCGUGAAGGAUGACUGCCCUACGGGUUGUAAACUUCUUUUAUAAAGGAAUAAAGUGAGGCACGUGUGCCUUUUUGUAUGUACUUUAUGAAUAAGGAUCGGCUAACUCCGUGCCAGCAGCCGCGGUAAUACGGAGGAUCCGAGCGUUAUCCGGAUUUAUUGGGUUUAAAGGGAGCGUAGAUGGGUUGUUAAGUCAGUUGUGAAAGUUUGCGGCUCAACCGUAAAAUUGCAAUUGAUACUGGCAGUCUUGAGUACAGGUGAGGUAGGCGGAAUUCGUGGUGUAGCGGUGAAAUGCUGAGAUAUCACGAAGAACUCCGAUUGCGAAGGCAGCUUACUAAACUGCCACUGACAUUGAUGCUCGAAAGUGUGGGUAUCAAACAGGAUUAGAUACCCUUGUAGUC